GCGUACAUUCACGCAUGCGCGCCCGGCUCAGUUUGCCAGACUUGGACCUGGGAAGUGUUGGGAUUGGGCGGGAAGGUGAGGCCCGCGCGAGGUUAGAGGCGCUUUUCCUCUCAGAUUUCUAGAAGGAAGGUCAAAAUGCCCAAGAGGAGGAAACCACAGAUUUCAGGCAAUUGGGAUUUGCCCAAGGUCACACAGCUAGGAAGUAUGAAGUGUCUGAGACCAUAUUUGAACUCAUGUCUUCCUGAUAUCAAGUCCGGUGCUCUAUCCACUGCGCCACCCAGCUGCCCCCAUUACAAAACACUUUCAAACAAACCUGCAAGGUUUUUUUUUUUUUUGAGAGCAGUUGUAAGAGGCUCUGGACCUGACCCUCCUGGGAUGAGUUGAGACGCCUUUGUGUCAGGCCCACCCUAACCUGUAUCCCUGGACUACCAAGGUGGCGUUGAUGGUGUGGUGGAGUCUGGACAGGUUGGGGAACAGGGGAGGCACAGUAAAGUUGGGCUCCUCCUUUCGGGGAGGGAUCGGGGAGGACUCUCUGUCCUGAUUGGUGUACAGUAAUGAGGAAGGAUAAGAGCUAUAAAAAAGAGCGGCACGGGGUGGUUCGGGGAGACAUGGCUGACUUGUAACAUCAAUAAACAUCACUGUUCUAUCAACCUCGGCUCUCUGUCUGGUGAUUCCCUCCUCCUGUCUCCACGAGGAGGGCCGGAGACGUCCGAAGCCCCGUCAGGCUCGGGGAAGCUGGAAAAGGCAGUCUCUGUUGUGGUUUCCCAUUUUCCUGUGACCUGGCCCGGCCCCCAACAACUGGCGCCCGAACAGGGACUUGACUGAACAGGGACCGGACUUGACUGAACAGGGACUUGAACCCUGGACCCUCUUCAUUUCUUAUAGCACAAUAGUAUUCCAUCAUAAUCAUAUACCUUAAUUUGUUUAGCCAUUCCUCAAUUGAUGGGCAUCCCCCCAAUUUCCAAUUAUUUGUUUCCAGGAAAGACCUCUUAUAAAUAUUUUCAUCAUAUAAAUCCUUUUCCUUUUUGUUUUGUUUUUAUCUCUUCUAGGAUACAUGCCUAGUAGUGGUAUUGAUAAAUCAGAGGGCAUGUAUGGUUUUAUAGUUUUGGGGCAUAGUUCCAAAUUGCUAUAGAGAAUGGUUGAAUCAAUUUACAAUUUUACCAAUUCCAUUCCAUCAAUGCCUCAUUUUUUCCACAUU